rfam:Anopheles gambiae str. PEST chromosome 3R, whole genome shotgun sequence.
GUGAUGGCACGAUAACUGAACAUUGAUCGCCAAAAACAGUUAAGUUUGCAGAUCUGUCCAGUGGCAUGCGUCACAACUCUAAUGGUAGUCUUUCUUCUGUGUCAUUGGCGAUCUCUCGCUGCACGGCGACGGGCCGUACGCACGAUUGAUGUCAUCUGUGACACGAGAUUCUACCGCCAUACGAAAUUAGUUGAAAUUGUAAUUAUACAAGUUAGCUUAGCUUCGAAUU